GAGACCCCAGGUCAGGCGGGACUACCCGCUGAGUUUAA
rnacentral:rRNA from 1 species